rnacentral:rRNA from 1 species
CCUACGGGUGGCAGCAGUGAGGAAUAUUGGUCAAUGGCCGGAAGGCUGAACCAGCCAAGCCGCGUGAGGGAGGAAGGCGCAGAGCGUCGCAGACCUCUUUUGCCGGGGGACAAAUGGCCGGACUCGUCUGGUCCUGAGGGUACCCGGAGAAAAAGCAUCGGCUACCUCCGUGCCAGCAGCCGCGGUAAUACGGAGGAUGCGAGCGUUAUCCGGGUUCAUUGGGUUAAAGGGGUUGGAGGGCGGGCCUUUACGCCGGCGGGGAAAUCGCGGGGGUAAACCCCGCCGAGCCGGCGGAACUGGGGGCCUUGAGUGCGGCGGAGGCAUGCGGAAUGCGCGGUGUAGCGGGGAAAUGCAUAGAUAGCGCGCAGAACCCCGAUUGCGAAGGCAGCGUGCCGUGCCGCCACUGACGCUGAGGCACGAAAGCGCGGGGAGCGAACAGGAUUAGAUACCCCUGUAGUC